rnacentral:lncRNA from 1 species
GUUUUAGCAAAAGAUUUCCCAACAUAAAAUCUUAGGAUAGAAUCAAAGCUUUGUGAGAACAUGAGAUAGUUGUCCAACAUAUCUCCUAUUUAUACAGUAUCUAAAACAAAAGGCUCGGAUUAAGGUAAUUAGUUCAUUAAUAUUGAAUAGUAAAUUUAUUUAACAAAAAGGGGGGAGAUGUCACAUGUACGGGACCAUUUGUGUAUCAGCAAAUGUGUGUUUUUUUGGGGGAAACAUUUGUAAUUCAUAGUAGAAAGUUUCAGUACAUUGAAACAUGAGUUCAGAGUAAAACAAAUUAGAGAACACAGUAGUAACCCUUACCAACACAUAAACUAUACCCAGAAAUUCGCCAAAUCCUAGAAAUUUGUGCCGGUAAGAACAGCUCCGCCACCAAUACCCAUCAAAACCACACCUCUUGCUCUUCAGGAAGAUGUUAGCCACUAGCAAACAGACACGUUGACUAGUGCGUCGUAUCCGCUCCCACCAAAGACGCCAUCCCAGAUCAUCUAACUUGUUUAAACCGUUAAGAUCAGACGAAGAAAACAAACGAAUCAGUUAAGCCUCGAGCGAAUUGAUACACCGGAUCCGAGUGAGCGAGUCCUAGCCAACUCGAGAAAACCUCCAACAUUUAUUUAACCCGAGACAAAACCCCCUGGAAAAACAAGGGAGGCCGACAUGGGGAAGCAGGAGGAGCGAGAGGGAAGGCGAGAAAGCGGAGAACCGGAGAAAGGUUGGUGAGGGAGGAGAGGAAACCGACUGUUCCAAAGUGGCCAGAGGCGACAACCCAGAAAGGAACCGCUCCAAAAAACAACAUCAAGAGAAAGGAGGGAGGAAGGUGAGGGGAGAGGGGAGGGGGAGGGGAAGGGGAAGAAGGGAGAAAGUCGGCGACGACAAUAAGGUGAAAAACCAGACUUCAGGAGAAGAGAACAUAGAAGGGAGAAGCAGGCCGUCCGCCACCCGACGACAAAAAACCUUACCUCGGGAAACCAAAAUGAAAGAGAAAGGUAGAGGUAUUUUUUUAUUCACAAGACAAGUGUCUUUUAUUUCUUAAAUAUAUAUUUAAUAAAAAUAUAAUAAAAUAUUAAAAAUAUAUCUUAAUAUUUUAAA